GUGGAGUUGGCUGCACAUGUUUUUUGCUGGCAACACAUCACGUUACAUGCAGCAUCUGAAAACAAAGGCAAAACACCGCGGGGCUCCACUUUGGCUUCUCAAGGACCGAAAUAAAGUGUUUGAAGGUA